CCUACGGGAGGCAGCAGUGAGGAAUAUUGGUCAAUGGGCGCGAGCCUGAACCAGCCAAGUAGCGUGAAGGAUGACGGCCCUACGGGUUGUAAACCGCUUUUAUAAAGGAAUAAAGUGAGGCACGUGUGCCUUUUUGUAUGUACGUUAUGAAUAAGGAUCGGCUAACUCCGUGCCAGCAGCCGCGGUAAUACGGAGGAUCCGAGCGUUAGCCGGAUUUAUUGGGGUUCAAGGGAGCGUAGAUGGGUUGUUAAGUCAGUGGUGAACGUUUGCGGCUCAACCGUAAAAUUGCCUUUGAUACUGGCAGUCUUGAGUACAGUUGCGGUAGGCGGCCUUCGUGGUGUAGCGGU
rnacentral:rRNA from 1 species